UCAUGUUGAAUAUUCCAGCACUGGAGUUAAUGUUUUGAUUGUUAGAGGCAGUUUAACAUUACAGUAAAUUGAAGAAAAUAAUCAAGCGUGUGUUUCAAUCUUUUAUUUUAUGCAUUGAUAAAUUUUUUUUGGCCUUCUACUGCUGUGUUUAAGUGUCAAAGCUCAAUUCUCAUUCCACUUAUUUUCACUGCAUUCAGUUUAUAACAAAUAUUAUUUAAAUUUCCUCUUCCUUUAUUGNNNNNNNNNGUCCACACAUUCACGCAUUCAGGUAGUCAUUCAAUCAAUAUGGGAUGGCUCAGAUUUAAUAUCGUAUGUCUUCAUUUCCCUUCCAUCUUGCCCUUUCUAAUUUUAAUCAUAAAAUAUAUCAACGAUGAUUUUUAUUAUAUUUGCACUUUACUUUUCCAAUCUCUGUGAAGGUACGUAGAAAAUAAUGGGCUGCAUGCUGCUUCAAAAUCCUCUUCUGAAACAAAGAUUCCACCGCAGGGUCGAGCAGGCAGGUUUGUUUUGUCAUUCCUUCUUUUCUUUAUUUAAGGUUUAUUAUUUAGAAUUUUAGAAUAAAUGAAUUUUAGCUUAAUGAUCACAUUUAAAAUUUCAUAU
rnacentral:lncRNA from 1 species